CAUGUCUUUUUGAAUUUAAUUUAAAGUCUGAUCUGCCCACUGAUGGUUUAUUAAAUGGCCGCAGUAUUUUAACUGUGCAAAGGUAGCAUAAUCAGUAGUCUUUUAAUUGAAGACUUGUAUGAAUGAUUGUACGAGAUAUAAGCUGUCUUAAAGAAAGUAUUUUGAAUUUUAUUAUUUAGUUAAAAAGCUAAACUAAUUUUAAAAGACGAGAAGACCCUAUAGAUCUUUAUAAAAAUAAUAUUUAUUUUUUGAGGUAUGAUUUUUGAAUUAAUAUUAAUUUUUAUUUUAUUGGGGUGAUAUUGAAAUUUAAUUAACUUUCAAUUGUUAAGAACAUUAAUUUAUGAAUAAUUGAUCCUUUAUUAUUGAUUAAAAAUUUAAGUUACCUUAGGGAUAACAGCGUAAUUAUUUUGGAGAGUUCUUAUCGAUAAAAUAGAUUGCGACCUCGAUGUUGGAUUAAGAUUAAUUCUGGGUGUAGCAGUUCAGAAUAUUAAGUCUGUUCGACUUUUAAUUUCU
rnacentral:rRNA from 1 species